rnacentral:lncRNA from 1 species
ACCCAGAGCAGCACUGAUCAGACCCAAAGUGCAGCUUCUUCUCAGUCUCAUUUUUCUACCUUUCCUGUAAUUUGCCGUGUACUGCCAUGGCUCGCAGGAGACUAGGAUUUAACUGCAGAGGUUCUAGUAACUUCCCCUUCCCCUGUUCCCUACAAGGUGAUACUUGUUUCCAGGAGUAAAUUCGGGAGCAAUGCUUCCCUUUCAAUUUCGUUGAAGAGUUUAAACAGUAGUGUCAGUAGUUCCUCUCUAAAUGUCUUGUAGAAUUCAGCGGUGAAGUCAUCAUGAACUGGGCUUUUCUUAGUUGACUUGUCCCAUCCAUUUUUCACUUGGAAUCCUAUAGUGCUUCUCAAUUGCUUUCAAGAUAAGUUUCAAUCUCAUUAAGAUGGCUUACGAGGCUUUUCAUAAUCUGGUCCAUUGCAUUUGCCCAGCUGCAUCUGCCAAUGUACUCUAACUUUGGCCAUACUGAAUAACUUGUGUUGCUUCUUCAUACAGCUGGGCUGGCAAUAGUGGUCCCUUUGCUGGAAAGUGUUUUUGCAAAAAGUUCACUCCAGAAACCCUGCCUGGUGUUUCUGCUCUAGACCACUGUUUCCUGAACUUUAGUGUAACAGAAUCACCUAGAGGCUUUGCAAAAACACCUAUGCCAGGCUCCACCCUAUAGUUGCUGUUUUGGUUGUUUGAAGUGGAACUAAGAACUUACAUUUUCAAUACGUCCCCAGGUAACACUUAUGCUACUGGUUCAGGGCAGCAUUUUGAGAAACCCAGCUCUGGAGGAAACAUCUGCACUUUUCUCUAGUAUAGCAUUUUACAUAGCUCACACAGAAGUCAUUUACUGGUUUCUCUCUCUCCCUCUAUCAGUGUAUAUUCAUCAGAAGAUAGAGGCAGUGUGUCAUCCAUCCUGAUGACACAGCACUUGGCACUGUACCUGGCACACAGUAGUUACUAUAUGAAUGGAAGGAAGGGAAAAUGGGGGAAAAAACCCACUUUGAACAAAGAUUGGGUGACAGAGAAAACUAGGUAUAGAGGUCUUCAGAAUACUUUCCUAGACUAAAUUUCUACAGUAUUGAUAUAAACUACUAUUAUCUCACAAAUUAGUGUAUUAUACUAAAUACAGUAGAGCCAGUGCAGUGUAGUGUCUACAAGUGUGAGCUCUAGCAUCAUAUAUUUUGGUUUUGAGUCUUGUUUUUACUAUGCAAUGUUAGGCAUAUUACUUAAUAUCUCUCUAAAAUUGCUUUUACAUUUAUAAAAUGAGAAUUCUAAAAAUGCUACAUAAUAGUUUCUUCAUGCUUAACUGAGGUGAUAUAUAUGAGUUGAUUUUUAUAAUCCCU